CAGAAGUCCGUGCAUGCAGGGAGAGGAACUUUUCUGCCUGAUGGUAAUGAGAGCACAGGACUCCCCUGCAUGCUGUGGCUGACAGAGACCCACUAUUCAAAACUCUGGCACAAAUGUUGGUAUGCCAGGAAAGGCUCUGCCUCACCUGCCUCACCCCACCGCACAUCACUGUAAUGAACACUCAGAUAAGAAAAGCUGGACCAAACCACUGCACCUGGACCAUGAGCCUGGAGCCGGCCCUGGCUACCCUGCUUGGAUUAGUUUGGCAAUAACAGCUGGAGUGCCUCAGGUUGCCUCAGCCAGCUUUACGCAAGACCCCUCCAGCGAAACGCGUCAGGACAGCUGCACCCCAGGAUACAAUUGGAUUCUCCACCUGAUAUACCCUUUCUUUUGGACUUUUGUCUCUGCCUCACCUGCCUCACCCAACCGCACGUCACUAUUGAACACCCAGAUUAGAAAAGCUGGACCAAACCACUGCACCUGGACCAAAUGGCGCCACCUAGGUCAGGCUAACUGGGAAUUAAGAAGCAUAGCAGUAGAUUUGCUGGGAUUUAUGUGGAAACCUGAUA